rnacentral:tRNA from 1 species
GGCCUGAUGGUCUAGUAGUAUGAUUCCUUGUUAGGGUUAACCCAAUAUCGAGGAGGUCCCGGGUUCAAUUCCCGGUCAGGCCC